AACGAACGCUGGCGGCGUGGAUAAGACAUGCAAGUCGAGCGAGAUUUUCUUUGGUAGCAAUACCGAAGGAAGUCUAGCGGCGAACGGGUGCUUAACACGUGGGCAACCUGCCAGGAAGUGGGGGAUAGCUCGCCGAAAGGCGAAUUAAUACCGCAUGUGAUUAGAGAGUACAUCCUUUCGAAAUUAAAGUCGGGGCAACCUGACGCUUCUUGUGGGGCCCGCGGCCUAUCAGCUAGUUGGUGGGGUAACGGCUCACCAAGGCUUUGACGGGUAGCUGGUCUGAGAGGACGACCAGCCACACUGGGACUGAGACACGGCCCAGACACCUACGGGUGGCAGCAGUCGAGAAUUUUUGACAAUGGGGGAAACCCUGAUCGAGCGACGCCGCGUGGAGGAUGAAGGUCUUCGGAUUGUAAACUCCUGUCAUUGGGGAACAAGGUGCAUACGUUAACUGCGUGUGCAUUGAUAGUACCCGAAGAGGAAGAGACGGCUAACUCUGUGCCAGCCGCCGCAGUAAAAC
rnacentral:rRNA from 1 species